UACGAAGGGGGCUAGCGUUGUUCGGAUUUACUGGGCGUAAAGCGCACGUAGGCGGGUUGUUAAGUCAGGGGUGAAAUCCUGGAGCUCAACUCCAGAACUGCCUUUGAUACUGGCAACCUAGAGGCUGGAAGAGGUUAGUGGAAUUCCCAGUGUAGAGGUGAAAUGUGUAGAGAUCGGGAGGAACACCGGUGGCGAAGGCGGGUCUCUGGGCAUCUCCUGACGCUGAGGCGCGAAAGCGUGGGGAGCAAACGGG
rnacentral:rRNA from 1 species